UGUUUUUUUUUUUUUUUUUUUUUUUUUUUUUAAACACAUAGUUUAGCAUGUGUGUUUUUUAAAAAGCUAAUUAUAAAAUUUAAUAUUCUCAAUAAGUUAGUUCUAACUAUUUAACAGUUAACAUUUUAACUCUACUUGAAAAAGAAAAAAGAAAAAAAGGACAAAUGAAACAUAGAAAUUAAAGAUUUAGUAUUUGUAUAUGUAACUAAAAUAUAAUUUUAUUUAUUUAAUAAAAAGCGGAUAAACAACUAACCGUUGUUAAUUUGUUAACACACUGUCAACCUUUACACUAAUAUUUGCAUAAAAACAUGUGUAUUAGCACUAAUUCUAUUUGAUAUAUACCACAGUAUAAUUCGGUAGGUUAAGGAAUAAGCAUUUUUAUUGUAAGUUGUAAUAAAAUACCUAUACAUAAAUAUAUAAGCAGGCGUACGGUAUGUAUAAAAAGAUAAGUUAUAGAAUAAUAUACAAAGUUGGAUAAAUAAGAUAUACCAAAAAAUAAAAAAAUAAAAAACUCACAGGUGCAUUAACUUAAAGAUAUAUAUAUAUAUAUAUUUAAACAUACCAAUUUAUAUGAACGAACUCGAAUGUUUGGGAAAAUAUAUCAACAUAAAAGAAUAAAAAUAAAAAAUGUAUAAACAAAGUGUCUUAGAUUUAAAAAGAAAAGAAAAAAGAAACAAAAAAUUAGUUUGUAUAAAAAGAUUGUAUGUGUCAUUGAAAAACAUACUAAUUUUUUUUUUCUUUAUAAAUGAUGAUAAUGUUAUAAAUAUAUUUAUUAAUCUACUCUAUAAGAGAAUCAAUAAUUGCUUAUCUAUUCAUACUACUAAAACAGAAGGUCUUGAAUUGUUCAUUAAAAAAUUUACAAAUAAAAAUAAAGUAUAUAGCCAAAUAAUGAAAUUUGAAAAAUUGUUUAUCAAAAAUAUA